rnacentral:ncRNA from 2 species
AGUCUGUUUCGGGGCGAGGUGAAAUUCCUCACUGGCGGUAAUGGGUGGAGCAAUCCCCACAAGUCCGCGACCCGGCUGGGUUCAGCCGGCAGAUUGGGUGCGAUUCCCAAACCAACGGUAAAGUCCGGUAUGAAGAAACGGCGU